GAGGUUAUAGCUCACAUUGGUAGAGCACAUGCUUAGCAUGCACAAGGGCCUGGGUUCAAUCCCCCAGUACCUCC
rnacentral:tRNA from 1 species